GCGGCACGCCUAAUACAUGCAAGUCGAACGAAGUAGCAAUACUUAGUGGCAGACGGGUGAGUAACAUGUAGGUAUCUUCCCAUUGGUGAGGAAUAACACGAGGAAACUUGUGCUAAUACCUCAUAAGUCUUUACGGAGAAAGCUUUAUGCGCCGAUGGAUGAGCCUGCACUUGAUUAGUUUGUUGGUAGGGUAAUGGCCUACCAAGACAAUGAUCAAUAGCUGAUUUGAGAGGAUGAUCAGCCACAUUGGGACUGAGACACGGCCCAAACUCCUACGGGAGGCAGCAGUAGGGAAUCUUGCACAAUGGGGGAAACCCUGAUGCAGCGAUGCCGCGUGAGUGAAGAAGGCCUUUGGGUUGUAAAGCUCUUUCGUCGGGGAAGAAAAUGACUGUACCCGAAUAAGAAGGUCCGGC
rnacentral:rRNA from 1 species